GUCCUAGCCGUAAACGAUGGGCACUAGGUGUGGGGGGUCAUCAACUCCCUCCGUGCCGCAGCUAACGCAUUAAGUGCCCCGCCUGGGGAGUACGACCGCAAGGUUAAAACUCAAAGGAAUUGACGGGGGCCCGCACAAGCAGCGGAGCAUGUGGCUUAAUUCGACGCAACGCGAAGAACCUUACCAAGGCUUGACAUGCAGGGAAAAGCGGCGGAAACGUCGUGUCCGCAAGGGCCCUGCACAGGUGGUGCAUGGCUGUCGU
rnacentral:rRNA from 1 species